rnacentral:rRNA from 1 species
AAUGAACGCUGGCGGCAUGCCUAACACAUGCAAGUCGAGCGAAAGAAUGGGGCUUGCUCCCGGAUUCAGCGGCGGACGGGGGAGUCAUGCCCAUGAAUCUGCCUUAACGCGCGGAAUGAGGUCCGAAAACGGGCGCUUAUCUCGCAUCCGAACAUAUAUCGAAAGUGGGGGGUCCUCGGUUCUAUCGCUUUCUGAUGAGGCUAGGACGGAUUAGCUAGGUGGAGGCGUAACUGCCUAGCAAGGCGGCUAACCGUAACUGGGCUGAGAGGAUGACCAGUCACACUGGAACUGAGACACGGUCCAGACUCCGACGGGAGGCAGCAGUGGGGAAUAUUGCGCAAUGGGCGAAAGCCUGAUACAGCAAUGCCGCGUGAGUGAUGAAGGUCUUCUGAUUGUAAAGCGCUGUAAGUUGGGAGGAAGUAAAGUAAGUUUAUCCCUGACUGUAUUGACGGUACCGACAGAAUAAGCUCCGGCUAACUUCGUG